GCUUCGGUGGCCUAUAGUGGUUAGGGCCUCCGCCUCGGAUGUGGGAGGUUGUGGGUUCGAACUCCGGCUGAGUCA